GCUUAGUUAGUAAAGUACAAAGCUCUUAACCUUGUGGACGUGGGUUCAAGCCCCAU
rnacentral:tRNA from 1 species